rnacentral:rRNA from 1 species
GGCUUGUUGAUUAUAAUUUCAGGUCGGACCUGCCCUAUGAGAGUUAAAUGGCCGCGGUAAAUUGACCGUGCAAAGGUAGCAUAAUCAUUAGUUUUUUAAUUGAAAGCUUGUAUGAAAGGUUUAAUGAAAAAAUAACUGUCUCUAGUUAAAUUUAAUAAAAUUUUAUUUUUAAGUUAAAAAGCUUAAAUGUUUAUAGAAGACGAGAAGACCCUAUAGAGUUUUAUAUGUUAUAAAUUUAAGUAUAAAAUUUUAAUUUUAAAUAGAGUAUUUUAUUGGGGUGAUAAAAAAAAUUAAACUUUUUUUUAAUUUAAACAUAGAUGAAUGGAUAUAAGAGCCUAGUAUUUAGAUUAUAAGAUUAAAUUACCUUAGGGAUAACAGCGUAAUUUUCUUUAGAGUACUGAUCGAAUAGAAAGAUUGCGACCUCGAUGUUGGAUUAAAAUUUAUUAAUGGUGGAGAAGCUAUUAGAUUAGGUCUGUUCGACCUUUAAAAUUUUACAUGAUCUGAGUUUAAACCGGCGUGAG